UCAGUUGAAGGCGGGCUGGACCUCUCGGGGUUACAGCCUUGCUGAAUUAUUCACCCUUGUCUUUUGCGUACUUCUUGUUUCCUUGGUGGGUUCGCCCACCACUAGGACAAACAUAAACCUUUUGUAAUUGCAAUCAGCGUCAGUAACAAAUUAAUAAUUACAACUUUCAACAACGGAUCUCUUGGUUCUGGCAUCGAUGAAGAACGCAGCGAAAUGCGAUAAGUAGUGUGAAUUGCAGAAUUCAGUGAAUCAUCGAAUCUUUGAACGCACAUUGCGCCCUUUGGUAUUCCAAAGGGCAUGCCUGUUCGAGCGUCAUUUGUACCCUCAAGCUUUGCUUGGUGUUGGGCGUCUUGUCUCUAGCUUUGCUGGAGACUCGCCUUAAAGUAAUUGGCAGCCGGCCUACUGGUUUCGGAGCGCAGCACAAGUCGCACUCUCUAUCAGCAAAGGUCUAGCAUCCAUUAAGCCUUUUUUUCAACUUUUGACCUCGGAUCAGGUAGGGAUACCCGCUGAACUUAAGCAUACUAAAACGGGGGAGAGAGAAAAAGAGGGAUUUACCCAAUUACGGGGGGGGAGGCGGGAACCCCUCUGGGGGUUACGCCCUGGCUAAAUUAUUCACCCUGGUCUUUUGGGGUACUUCUGGUUUCCUGGGUGGGUUCGCCCACACUAGGGACAAACAUAAACUUUUUGGUAGUUGCAAUCAGCGUGCGUUACACAAUUAAAUAAGUUACACUUCAACGGGAAGCUUUGGGUUCUGCUCAUUAUAAGCACAAUGCAUUAGUAAGUGUGGAUGCGGUCAUGAUCACGAACUUGAGCAUGUCGAUUAUCGAGCAGCUGAUCAUGUCAACAUGCUGGGGU
rnacentral:rRNA from 1 species